rnacentral:rRNA from 1 species
UGCAGUCGAGCGGUAGCACAGAGAGCUUGCUCUCGGGUGACGAGCGGCGGACGGGUGAGUAAUGUCUGGGAAACUGCCUGAUGGAGGGGGAUAACUACUGGAAACGGUAGCUAAUACCGCAUAACGUCGCAAGACCAAAGUGGGGGACCUUCGGGCCUCAUGCCAUCAGAUGUGCCCAGAUGGGAUUAGCUAGUAGGUGGGGUAACGGCUCACCUAGGCGACGAUCCCUAGCUGGUCUGAGAGGAUGACCAGCCACACUGGAACUGAGACACGGUCCAGACUCCUACGGGAGGCAGCAGUGGGGAAUAUUGCACAAUGGGCGCAAGCCUGAUGCAGCCAUGCCGCGUGUGUGAAGAAGGCCUUCGGGUUGUAAAGCACUUUCAGCGGGGAGGAAGGCGAUAAGGUUAAUAACCUUGUCGAUUGACGUUACCCGCAGAAGAAGCACCGGCUAACUCCGUGCCAGCAGCCGCGGUAAUACGGAGGGUGCAAGCGUUAAUCGGAAUUACUGGGCGUAAAGCGCACGCAGGCGGUCUGUCAAGUCGGAUGUGAAAUCCCCGGGCUCAACCUGGGAACUGCAUUCGAAACUGGCAGGCUAGAGUCUUGUAGAGGGGGGUAGAAUUCCAGGUGUAGCGGUGAAAUGCGUAGAGAUCUGGAGGAAUACCGGUGGCGAAGGCGGCCCCCUGGACAAAGACUGACGCUCAGGUGCGAAAGCGUGGGGAGCAAACAGGAUUAGAUACCCUGGUAGUCCACGCCGUAAACGAUGUCGAUUUGGAGGUUGUGCCCUUGAGGCGUGGCUUCCGGAGCUAACGCGUUAAAUCGACCGCCUGGGGAGUACGGCCGCAAGGUUAAAACUCAAAUGAAUUGACGGGGGCCCGCACAAGCGGUGGAGCAUGUGGUUUAAUUCGAUGCAACGCGAAGAACCUUACCUGGUCUUGACAUCCACAGAACUUUCCAGAGAUGGAUUGGUGCCUUCGGGAACUGUGAGACAGGUGCUGCAUGGCUGUCGUCAGCUCGUGUUGUGAAAUGUUGGGUUAAGUCCCGCAACGAGCGCAACCCUUAUCCUUUGUUGCCAGCGGUUAGGCCGGGAACUCAAAGGAGACUGCCAGUGAUAAACUGGAGGAAGGUGGGGAUGACGUCAAGUCAUCAUGGCCCUUACGACCAGGGCUACACACGUGCUACAAUGGCAUAUACAAAGAGAAGCGACCUCGCGAGAGCAAGCGGACCUCAUAAAGUAUGUCGUAGUCCGGAUUGGAGUCUGCAACUCGACUCCAUGAAGUCGGAAUCGCUAGUAAUCGUAGAUCAGAAUGCUACGGUGAAUACGUUCCCGGGCCUUGUACACACCGCCCGUCACACCAUGGGAGUGGGUUGCAAAAGAAGUAGGUAGCUUAACCUUCGGGAGGGCGCUACCACUU